rnacentral:snRNA from 1 species
GAGUCCGAAUUGUCUGGAGAUCUA